GAUCUGGCUCAGGAUGAACGCUGGCGGCGUGCUUAACACAUGCAAGUCGAACGAAGCACUUUUACAGAUUUCUUCGGAAUGAAGUUUUAGUGACUGAGUGGCGGACGGGUGAGUAACGCGUGGGUAACCUGCCUCACACAGGGGGAUAACAGUUGGAAACGGCUGCUAAUACCGCAUAAGCGCACGGUACCGCAUGGUACAGUGUGAAAAACUCCGGUGGUGUGAGAUGGACCCGCGUCUGAUUAG
rnacentral:rRNA from 1 species